UACGUAGGUGGCAAGCGUUGUCCGGAUUUACUGGGCGUAAAGAGCGCGCAGGCGGUCGUUCAAGUCGCGUGUGAAAGCCCCCGGCUCAACUGGGGAGGGUCACGCGAUACUGAUCGACUCGAAGGCAGGAGAGGGUAGUGGAAUUCCCGGUGUAGUGGUGAAAUGCGUAGAUAUCUGGAGGAACACCGGUGGCGAAGGCGGCAUCCUGGACCGACACUGACGCUGAGGAGCGAAAGCCAGGGGAGCAAACGGG
rnacentral:rRNA from 1 species